GAUGAAGAACGCAGCGAAAUGCGAUACGUAAUGUGAAUUGCAGAAUUCAGUGAAUCAUCGAGUCUUUGAACGCACAUUGCGCCCCCUGGUAUUCCGGGGGGCAUGCCUGUCCGAGCGUCAUUGCUGCCCUCAAGCACGGCUUGUGUGUUGGGCCUCCGUCCUCCUCCCGGGGGACGGGCCCGAAAGGCAGCGGCGGCACCGCGUCCGGUCCUCGAGCGUAUGGGGCUUCGUCACCCGCUCUUGUAGGCCCGGCCGGCGCUUGCCGACACAUCAAUCUUUUUUCCAGGUUGACCUCGGACCAGGUAGGGAUACCCGCUGAACUUAAGCAUAUCAAUAAGCGGAGGA
rnacentral:misc_RNA from 1 species